UGGGGAAUAUUGCACAAUGGGCGAAAGCCUGAUGCAGCGACGCCGCGUGAGGGAUGACGGCCUUCGGGUUGUAAACCUCUUUCAGCAGGGACGAAGCGCAAGUGACGGUACCUGCAGAAGAAGCACCGGCCAACUACGUGCCAGCAGCCGCGGUAAUACGUAGGGUGCGAGCGUUGUCCGGAAUUACUGGGCGUAAAGAGCUCGUAGGCGGUUUGUCGCGUCGUCUGUGAAAUUCUGCAGCUUAACUGCAGGCGUGCAGGCGAUACGGGCAGACUUGAGUACUACAGGGGAGACUGGAAUUCCUGGUGUAGCGGUGAAAUGCGCAGAUAUCAGGAGGAACACCGGUGGCGAAGGCGGGUCUCUGGGUAGUAACUGACGCUGAGGAGCGAAAGCGUGGGUAGCGAACAGGAUUAGAUACCCUGGUAGUCCACGCCGUAAACGGUGGGUACUAGGUGUGGGUUCCAUUUCACGGGAUCCGUGCCGUAGCUAACGCAUUAAGUACCCCGCCUGGGGAGUACGGCCGCAAGGCUAAAAACUCAAAGGAAUUGACGGGGUCAUAGCUGUUUU
rnacentral:rRNA from 1 species